CCUUCUUCUUAGCAUCAAGCUAUACAUCAAUUAUGUUUGUGCCUCACCCUUCUUCAAAGGAGCUCAAGACAGCAGACGUAGCUUCUCUCACCUACAUACUGUCCUUACAACUAAUCUGAUCAUUUUAAAGUGAACACCGAGGGUAUGCUGAAAACGGGAUAAGUAAGAAUUUAAGCUGCAAGCGCUUGU